AACAGCAGCCGCGGUAAUACGUAGGUGGCAAGCGUUGUCCGGAAUUAUUGGGCGUAAAGCGCGCGCAGGCGGUUCCUUAAGUCUGAUGUGAAAUCUCGCGGCUCAACCGCGAGCGGCCAUUGGAAACUGGGGAACUUGAGUGCAGGAGAGGGGAGCGGAAUUCCACGUGUAGCGGUGAAAUGCGUAGAGAUGUGGAGGAACACCAGUGGCGAAGGCGGCUCUCUGGCCUGUAACUGACGCUGAGGCGCGAAAGCGUGGGGAGCGAACAGGAUUAGAUACCCUGGUAGUCCACGCCGUAAACGAUGAGUGCUAAGUGUUAGAGGGUAUCCACCCUUUAGUGCUGCAGCAAACGCAUUAAGCACUCCGCCUGGGGAGUACGGCCGCAAGGCUGAAACUCAAAGGAAUUGACGGGGACCCGCACAAGCGGUGGAGCAUGUGGUUUAAUUCGAAAGCAACGCGAAGAACCUUACCAGGGCUUGACAUCCCCUGACAACCCUAGAGAUAGGGGCGUUCCCCGUUUCGGGGGACGGGGUGACAGGGUGGUGCAUGUUUGUGCUCAGGUCGGGGUCCUGAGCAUCUUGGAUUGGAGUCCCGCGAGCAGGGGAGGCCCGUGCGGUGUGUGGACACGGGUCAGGGAGCAGGCGCAAAGAGAGCGUGAAAUGCGAAGUAGACAGCGGCGAGAGCAGAUGUAAAGCAGAGAGCGUGAAGGAGCUGCGCGAUGCGUGCUCUAGAAGCGGUAGUCGCAG
rnacentral:rRNA from 1 species